CACCGCCACUGACAACCUAUAUAAGAAUGCGAAACUCUUCUCAAGUUCACUCCUCAAUUGCACUUCCUACGUUGGUUGUGAUUUCUCAAUAAGCGGUUCUUGUUCCUCUUAAAUUUGGUUUUCUGUGAUACCAUUGUUCUUUAUUUUCUCUUCUUCUUUCCCAAUUGCUAGGUUCUUUCUUUCUCUGCUAUAACAUUGAAUAAUGGGCACGGAGUAAUGUGAUAAGGCUUUACUGUGGGUGAAUUUUGGAGACUCGGUUCAACAAAAUUUCUACCGUAAAUGCGAGGAGAAUUGUUGGUGCUUUUGCAAAAUCUGAUUGAUUAGGGUUUUAAAGAAUGUAUGAAUCAACAAUGGUGAGUGAAGAAACUUUAUUAUCUGCACGUUUCGGGAAUGGAAAGAGCAAGGGAAAGCUCUAGUGCUUAAGAAGAAGGUGUUCAAGUAUUGAUCUUCAGAUUGCCAGGGAGUUGUGUUGUGUUGUUUCUGAAGGCAAGAGAAAUGAUUGUUGAAGGGGGAUAAAAGAUGGGGUCAUGCAUAUGAAAUCACGUGAUGCUGUUUUAGAGUCUCAAACAAUGGCCAAUAAUAGAUCAUAGCCUCCUACAUGUUAAGGUGUAACAGCCAACUAGUAUAUAUCUCUGAGAUGAAUUAUUAUGAAGUUGAAAGCUAUAGAUAAAUGGACUUAAGAGGCAUCUAUGCAAACUAAGUCUAAUGUUGCAUCAUGUUUCCCAUAGUUUGAGAAGUUCCACAUUAUGUUGCCCUUGAAAGGUGAAGUUUAUAUAAAUACUUUGUUUAACAAACCCAUAGAUAAGGUCCUGAAUCUUGAUCAUCAUUUAUUGAUUUCAUUAUCAGCACCUAAGACACGUGAGAUGUUACCAACUAAUGGAAGAGAUAUACAGUACAUUGCAAGAGCAAGAACUAGGUUUUACUUGUGCAUUAAUAAAGAUUUCUAUCAA